rnacentral:rRNA from 1 species
AUUGAACGCUGGCGGCAUGCCUUACACAUGCAAGUCGAACGGCAGCACGGGGGCAACCCUGGUGGCGAGUGGCGAACGGGUGAGUAAUGCGUCGGAACGUGCCCAGUAGUGGGGGACAACCAGUCGAAAGAUUGGCUAAUACCGCAUACGACCUAUGGGUGAAAGCGGGGGACCGUAAGGCCUCGCGCUAUUGGAGCGGCCGAUGUCUGAUUAGCUAGUUGGUGAGGUAAAGGCUCACCAAGGCGACGAUCAGUAGCUGGUCUGAGAGGACGACCAGCCACACUGGGACUGAGACACGGCCCAGACUCCUACGGGAGGCAGCAGUGGGGAAUUUUGGACAAUGGGCGCAAGCCUGAUCCAGCCAUGCCGCGUGCGGGAAGAAGGCCUUCGGGUUGUAAACCGCUUUUGGCAGGAACGAAACGGCGACUCUUAAUACGGGUCGUUAAUGACGGUACCUGCAGAAUAAGCACCGGCUAACUACGUGCCAGCCGCCGCCGUAACAC